rnacentral:misc_RNA from 1 species
UACUGGCAGGAUCAACCAGGUAGCAUUCCUCAUCGACGCCGGACGCCGCAUGAGCCAAGCCGCGAGGGACUUGGCCAAAACGGGAACGGCCGUCGUCCGCAUGAAGCGUGGAACGCUUGUUUUCGGGGCAAGAUAGAGGUCGGCGACCUCGUACCCAUUCGGUCUUCCGCAUCCGAGAGAUCGAGCGCAGCGCCGUGUGCCGACAACCAAGGCACGCGUAGAGGCAUGCAGGUCGCGGAGCACAACGAGUGCUUCGAUGUCCACCCCGCACCGCAACCCCGAGAGGCGCAGCACAGGGAGGAAACGUGACAUUUUUGUAACAGCAUGCCUUCGCGAUGGGUAUGCAGCACAGGAAACCGACACCGGUCAAGGCGAACUCGCAACUUGGGCCAACCAUUGAAGAGGCGAUGAACGGGGUGCCGUCGCUGCCCGAGCAGGGGAACCCGACACGCCCCAUACAAGCCAAAUCA